AAUAAAACAAUAAAAAAGCUAAAAGAAAUAAUAAAAAUGAGGGGGCAUGCUAUCAACACAAGAGGUAAAAGAAUUAAAAAAGAUUAAGGAAAUAAGAGAAAGAACAAAAAUAAAUAGAUAAAGCAAUAAUAAGAAAAUAAUAAUAAAAAAAUGCAAAAGACAAAAACAUGCUGAAAAUUGGGGGUGUAGCUAGAAAAAUACUCUAAGCCCAAAGAAGGGUGGCCCACAAAAGUGUGCUGAGCAAUCAAGGGGUUUGAGUAGAUUUCAUAUUUCUCAACCCCACAUUUGAUUACUAU
rnacentral:lncRNA from 1 species